CGGGGAAGAAGGGGGUGGAGUCAGGGAAGAAGGCAGCCUUCACGUCCAGGCCUCUCUCAGUCAGCGCGGCGUAGCGACUGGUGGACGGACGCACCCUCUUAGGCUUUGGCGAUGACGACGACUCACCAUGGACGUCGAGACGUGCAGUGCUCGAGACGAUCCCAGCUUCGUUCUUGGCAGACACAGUGUACCAGCCUGCAUCCUCCUUCAUGGCCGGCUGGAUGAUCAUGCACAGACAGAAGGAAAGGAGACGGGCGGAGCCGGGAUAGAGAGACAGAAGGAAAGGAGAGAACCAAGAAGAAAAGAGGGGGAGAAGCAAGAAAAACGAGGCAGAAAAGAUAAUUGCGGAGUGAGAAACGGAUCCGUCUUAAUCCAGGACAAGUGAAACCCUCCUCCUCCUCCCUCUAAGAUAUCCAUCACACUGGGGUCAAACACUCCGCCUCCCUCGUCCUCUAUAGAACCAGGAAUGUACUGGGAGAACACACAAGGAUGAGGAAGAUGACGGCGGAUGUGCAGGAGGGGAGGAGCCUAUGGUUGGGGUCGGGGUCUAGGAUGAUGGGAAGGGGGCUAUGGUUGGGGGUG